CACGGGGGUUGCGAGCGUUGUCCGGAAUUACUAGGCGUAAAGGGCAGGCAGGCGGAUCCAUAAGUUUAUCGUUUAAGGCGUCGGCUUAACCGGCGUAGGGCGGUAGAUACUGUGGAUCUGGAAUGCGGUUGGGGAAGACAGAAUUCCUGGUGUAGCGGUGGAAUGCGCAGAGAUCAGGAGGAAUACCGAAGGCGAAGGCAGUCUUCCAAGCCGUUAUUGACGCUCAACUGCGUAGGUGUGGGUAUCAAACAGGAUUAGAUACCCUGUAGUCCCUGA
rnacentral:rRNA from 1 species